rnacentral:rRNA from 1 species
AAUGAACGUUGGCGGCGUGGAUUAGGCAUGCAAGUCGAGCGAGAACCGUAGCAAUGCGGGGACAGCGGCGAAAGGGAGAGUAACGGGUGGGUACCUGCCCUCGGAUCUGGGAUAGCCACGGGAAACUGUGGGUAAUACCAGAUGAUGUCUUCGGACCAAAGGUGUGAUUCCGUCCGAGGAGGGGCCCGCUUCCUAUUAGCUAGUUGGUGGGGUAAUGGCCUACCAAGGCAUUGAUGGGUACGGGGUGUGAGAGCAUGACCCUGCUCACUGGGACUGAGAUACUGCCCAGACACCUACGGGUGGCAG